rnacentral:lncRNA from 1 species
UAUGUUCCGGUCUCUUCUUUUUUUUUUAAUUCAGAUAGUCAACUAAAUAAAAUUACUUAUAAACCACUUGGUCAUAUCUCUAAGAAUAUUACAAUUUCCACUUAUGUUUAUAUCUUGGACAAAAAAAUUAAGUUAAAAAGCAUUAAAAUAAUAUAUAAAUUAGAAGCACAUCAGAGAUAAUCAAAUAAUAAAAAUUCUCUUAUUUAACUUUUACCAAGGAGAUGUAGAUUUAUGUUUGUUCUUCUUGUUUUUAAUUUUUUUUUUAAUGUUUUUACAUUUACUAAUCACAGGGCGACAUAACAGUUAAAUAACUACUUCAUCAAGUAGAGGAAAACAAAAUUUAAUCCGUUUCAAAUAAAUAAUUUUCAGAUUUUUGUAAUGAAGUUUGUAGCAUUUGAUUGUUAAUUUAGGAAUGAAUAUGAUCAACUGGCUUCCUUCUGUUAUGUCCAACUAAUUUGGAAUUGUAUUGACAUGAAUACGGAUUGUUAUUUCGGAAUAUUCUGUUUAAUUAGCUCAUAUUUCGGGAUGUUGAUAUGGUAUGAUUGAAUUUUCUUGCAGUUGUUAUAACGUUGGCCAAACUUAAAUAGAAAGAACCGAUAUCUCUUAAUGAAGGAAAGCUCUGUUGUUAUAGCGCACGUGGCCCAAAUUUGCUGAGCAAUUAACGCUGAACAUUUCCGUUGUCCCAAAAGCUACCACUUCUUGUAAGCUGCAGUAUUUAAAUAAACAAUGAGAAAAUUAUAUGACUGUAUCAGGACAAUAAAUACAAAUGAAUAAUAAGGGAAUAGAAUACUUUGUGUAACAGAGUGAUCCCAUACUGAUAACGAGUUGUAAUAUUAAGAAGGAAGUGUUUGCAUGAAUGAUAUAAAGUUAAGGGAGCUAUAUGAAAUAAAGAUAGAGGGCAAAGCACAUAAUCAACAUUUUAUUUCCGUGAACUCAGAAUUGUAAUACGAAGAAAUACGUUAAAUGGUUAUUGACAGACAAUGUUAACCGAUGAAAACCUAACACUAUUACAAAAAUAACAGUGAAGCGGUGUGCACGAUCAGUGUGUGUAAGUGGGACUAGAUGUGCGGCUAAAUCAGAUGAGAUGAUAUGUGAUCAUUGUGUGAUUGGCAUGAUCGCAUCGUAAGCAUCAAGUGAUUCACGACAGAAAGUUUAUAAAUAUACAAACUUUGAAUAAAAUCGCCUCCGUCAAUAUCAAAGGCGGAUCAAGAGAAAAUUAAUUACCAAAAUUAUAAGUCUUUCUUUUUAACCAUUCUUUAGUCAUGUCACGAAUAUGUGGAAAUGAUUUAAGUAAGGGUGUUCAUAGAUCAGAUUUUCUGGAUUGGGCGUCAAUUUAUAUCGGAUCCACGAUUUUACGAUUUAUAAAUUUUCAAUCUAAUCCAAUCAUGAAUUGGUGAAAUUCAAUUUAAAUCCAAUUUGUAUAUCCGCGGAUUGAAUGCGGAUUUGACUCAAUCCACUAUUUUGCAGAUUGGCUUGCGAAUUAAAAUUUUUAAUUCUGUCUAAUCCAUGAA